AACUGAAUUACAGGGUAGUUUCCCUUUUGGCAGGAAACAACACCAUAACAUGACACAAAUAAUACUAAGAGGUGUUGUUCACUGCCAAAGGGGAUUUGCCCAGCAAUUUUGCU